UACGGGGGGGGCAAGCGUUGUUCGGAAUUACUGGGCGUAAAGGGCUCGUAGGUGGCCAACUAAGUCAGACGUGAAAUCCCUCGGCUUAGCCGGGGAACUGCGUCUGAUACUGGAUGGCUUGAGUAUGGGAGAGGGAUGCGGAAUUCCAGGUGUAGCGGUGAAAUGCGUAGAUAUCUGGAGGAACACCGGUGGCGAAGGCGGCAUCCUGGACCAUUACUGACGCUGAGGAGCGAAAGCCAGGGGAGCAAACGGG
rnacentral:rRNA from 1 species